rnacentral:rRNA from 1 species
UACGGGGGGGGCAAGCGUUGUUCGGAAUUACUGGGCGUAAAGGGCUCGUAGGUGGCCAACUAAGUCAGACGUGAAAUCCCUCGGCUUAACCGGGGAACUGCGUCUGAUACUGGAUGGCUUGAGUUUGGGAGAGGGAUGCGGAAUUCCAGGUGUAGCGGUGAAAUGCGCAGAUAUCAGGAAGAACACCAACGGCGAAGGCAGCUCGCUAGGACGGAACUGACGCUGAGGCGCGAAAGCGUGGGGAGCAAACAGG